UACGGGGGGGGCAAGCGUUGUUCGGAAUUACUGGGCGUAAAGGGCGCGUAGGCGGCCCCUUUUGUCGCGUGUGAAAGCCCCGGGCUCAACCUGGGAACGGCGCGCGAAACGGGGGGGCUCGAGUCCGGAAGAGGAGUGUGGAAUUCCUGGUGUAGCGGUGAAAUGCGCAGAUAUCAGGAGGAACACCAAUGGCGAAGGCAGCACUCUGGGACGUGACUGACGCUGAGACGCGAAAGCGUGGGGAGCAAACAGG
rnacentral:rRNA from 1 species